rnacentral:rRNA from 1 species
GUGCACGCUGGCGGUAGGCCUAACACAUGCAAGUCGAACGGCAGCACAGUAAGAGCUUGCUCUUACGGGUGGCGAGUGGCGGACGGGUGAGGAAUACAUCGGAAUCUACUUUUUCGUGGGGGAUAACGUAGGGAAACUUACGCUAAUACCGCAUACGACCUACGGGUGAAAGCAGGGGAUCUUCGGACCUUGCGCGAUUGAAUGAGCCGAUGUCGGAUUAGCUAGUUGGCGGGGUAAAGGCCCACCAAGGCGACGAUCCGUAGCUGGUCUGAGAGGAUGAUCAGCCACACUGGAACUGAGACACGGUCCAGACUCCUACGGGAGGCAGCAGUGGGGAAUAUUGGACAAUGGGCGCAAGCCUGAUCCAGCCAUACCGCGUGGGUGAAGAAGGCCUUCGGGUUGUAAAGCCCUUUUGUUGGGAAAGAAAAGCAGCAGGUUAAUACCCCGCUGUUCUGACGGUACCCGAAGAAUAAGCACCGGCUAACUUCGUG